GACGAAUCUUCCUCGUUAAAAGAAUAAAUAAAUAAAAAAGAACAGAUGAGGGAGAAUUGCCUUCUGGUGUGAGUUACUAAGGAGAACAAAAAUAUAAAGUACAUAGUACAAAUAGUAGUGUGGAUUGGGAAAGAUAUAAAAGUCAAAGCAGGAAAGCCGUGAUGAGGAGAGAUGGUGGGAGGAUUAAGAUAUCAUUUUAAGUACUCUGGAAUUUAUUUUGUAGACAAUAGGAAGCCUUCAAAGGUGAGAGUUUGUUUUCUUUUAAGAAUCAUUUGACUUGUGUUUCAAGAAUAUGAUGAUGCCAGACAUCUUUUCUUUGCCCUUCAAGAUCCUCUCUCACCUUUCACUACCCAGUUCUCUGCCCCAAGAGGCCAUUCUGUAUGGACCACAUCCACAGGCUUUCUUGGUUGCUGGCUUUGAUGUGCUUUUGACCAGGGAGGAGCCCAGCAGUUAUCAGAGAGAGAAGAGUGCACUGUGGGCAUUUCUCCCAUCUCCCAUCCUGCAGUGUCACUUCAGGAGGGCCCUGCCUCGCCACCCAAGAAAACACUUCCUCAGAAGGUGUGUUCUCCACGGGACGCUCUCAUUCUAGAAAAAAUCCCUCAUGUUGGUAGCCCAGGGAACUCCACCAUCUCAGCUUGGGUCUUGCCCAUACCCUACCCAUAGCACUGUGCACAGUCCCUUUACGAAGCUCUUCUCUUCUCUUACUUGAGUUGCCCUGUGUUUCCUGCAGCAUCUAUUAAUAGUACCAAAAAUUACUCCAGGAAACAGAUCCUCAAAAGAAGAUUCUGGGAUCAAUUUGCUUAUCUAUUUGAGGAUCUUCGAAGAGUGAAGUUUGAAAUCCUACCAGGAGAGAGCUCCUGUCCAGCCACAGUCUUGGCAGAAGGAAAGGGGAACACAGAAAUAGAACAUGUCGUAGAAGGAAGCUCUGAUUACUGAACUAUGCUGCAUCCAGGUACAGGGGUGGAAACAGCAUCAGCUACGGUUCAUGUCACUUGAUUAUUUCCUUUUCCUUUUUCCCCUGCGGCCCUAUAAGAAGAACCCCAGGGAUCACUCAUGUUUUUGUUUCGGACACAGGUUUGAUGGUAUUGACAUCACUCCAUGAUGAUUCAGAAGCUGACGGGACUUCAUGAGUCCCGUGAUGGACAAACAAACUUCUCCCACAAACACAAGUGGAUGCUAAGGAAUGAUGGCACCAGAUGUCUUAUUUAUCACUCCAGAUGCAGGAUGCUGUUCGCUGCGGAUUAUAGCAAUUGUCUCCUUCACCUUCUGGGCCGCGGGUGGGCUCCUGUACCAUCCCAGCAGGAGAUCUGACGACGGGAUGAGAACCAGCUGAGGGUGCUUACUUCUUUGCUCCCAUCCUGGGGGUUGCCUCUAGCUGGCUACAUCCCAUAACCAAAGGACACAAUUCCUGUCAUGAUUCCAUGCGGAACAGGAGAUGGAGAAUGUGGGAAAUUAAAGGCUGGGGGACUGGUGCAGUGUCCCCUGAACCAGGUUCUCGUUCAACAAGUAUACGCUGAGUACCUGCCCUGUGCCAGGCACCAUUCUACAGCAGAAAGAAGAGAGAUCAAGUUCCAGCCCUCUGGGGUUUACAUUCCAGUAUAGGAGACAAUCAACAAGUGAACAAAGAAAUGAGCCCACAACAGCAGAACUGUAUAGCUUCAAGAGAGACUACAAAGCUGAAAAUACUUGCUCGCUGGCUCUCUGCAGAGUAAGUUUACCGACCCCUGCUCUCUGGCCUGGAGCCACAGCAUCAUGAUAGAAGGAACUGAGGAGCAGUCCAUUUCCUCUAGGAAUUUUCUGGGAGCCAGAGCAAUGGUCUGCUUAACUAACCCUUCCCGUCUUAGAAUGGGUUGGAGGAAAAUUCACACUCGAGCUUAAUCAGUACAUGGAGAUUGGGGUAACUCUACCUUCUGCCUCCUUGAAUAAACUUGCCCAGAAACUCAAUUCGAAAUGCCCACGUCGGGGAUGGAGAAACAAGCAGAAAAGAAAGCUCCAGCCCGUGGCCUCAGGUCGAACUCGGAGUGAACUUCUGCACGACCAAGCAACUUCAAGUUCUCAGCUUGCUGCGUAUUUCUCCCACCUCCACCCCUGCUUUCUGUGUGGUACUGCUGAUUCUAGCUGCUAAUAACACUUAAUCUACCCAACAACAUCGACAUCAGAGAAAAUGACUGGGAUCAGAAAUCCUCCCUCACCUCUCGCCUUGCAGCCUCUGAAGAAGGCUCUGCCACUGUCUGCAAGUGAAGCCUAGCCUGAAGCCUUCAGCUUCCAGAGGCCAAGCAAAUGUUAUCCUAACAUGGGUCACGGUAGGUGGGUGGUUGGCAAACCUGUUGAUACACUACGCUGUCUACAACAUAACUUGUUGCAAAGCUGAAUUAACAGUAGCCCCAAGGCCAGCUGAAGACUGCGCACAGAUUAUCCCCAUUCCUAUUUUAAGAUUUGAAUCUAACAAACAGCACAGACUGCUCCGCCAUCAUUUGCUUACCACUUGUUUGUAUCUAUUUUUCUGUGUUACUAACUUUAGCCAUGCUUUUUGCCACAGGAUUGAGUCUGAGAGCAGGCAGACAUGGACUCAAGAAAGACAGAUGAUGGUUUAAAUUUACUCUCACAGGAUAAAGACCAAAACAGCCUUCUCCUGUUCAAGGACCCCUCGAAGCUGGUUAGCUAAUAGCCAAUUUUUUUUUUUAAAGACUUUAUCUUUUUUCAUUUUUCUCGCCAAAGCCCCCCGGUACAUAGUUGUA